rnacentral:misc_RNA from 1 species
UUUCCGUAGGCGAACCUGCGGAAGGAUCAUUAUUGUAUAACCGAGGUGCGAGGGCUGUCGCUGACCCGAAAGGUCGUGCACGCCCGAGUGCCCUCACACACAUCCAUCUCACCCCUAUGUGCACCACCGCGUCGGUCCCCCUUUGGCUUGUUCGGAGGGGGGCUUACGUUUUCACACAAACUUUGUAUGCAGUGUAGAAUGUAUUUUUUGUUUUUGCGAUCACGCAAUCAAUACAACUUUCAACAACGGAUCUCUUGGCUCUC